GAUGAACGCUGGCGGUAUGCUUAACACAUGCAAGUCGAACGGUCUCUUCGGAGAUAGUGGCGGACGGGUGAGUAACGCGUGAGAAUCUGGCUCUAGGUCUGGGACAACCAUUGGAAACGGUGGCUAAUACUGGAUGUGCCUAAAGGUGAAAGAUUAAUUGCCUGGAGAUGAGCUCGCGUCUGAUUAGCUAGUUGGUAAGGUAAGAGCUUACCAAGGCGACGAUCAGUAGCUGGUCUGAGAGGACGAUCAGCCACACUGGGACUGAGACAC
rnacentral:rRNA from 1 species